rnacentral:rRNA from 1 species
GACGAACGCUGGCGGCGCGCCUAACACAUGCAAGUCGAACGAGAGAGAGGAAGCUUGCUUCCUCAAUCGAGUGGCGAACGGGUGAGUAACGCGUGAGGAACCUGCCUCAAAGAGGGGGACAACAGUUGGAAACGACUGCUAAUACCGCAUAAGCCCACGGGUCGGCAUCGACCAGAGGGAAAAGGAGCAAUCCGCUUUGAGAUGGCCUCGCGUCCGAUUAGCUGGUUGGUGAGGUAAUGGCCCACCAAGGCGACGAUCGGUAGCCGGACUGAGAGGUUGAACGGCCACAUUGGGACUGAGACACGGCCCAGACUCCUACGGGAGGCAGCAGUGGGGAAUAUUGCACAAUGGGGGAAACCCUGAUGCAGCGACGCCGCGUGGAGGAAGAAGGUCUUCGGAUUGUAAACUCCUGUUGUUGAGGAAGAUAAUGACGGUACUCAACAAGGAAGUGACGGCUAACUACGUGCCAGCAGCCGCGGUAAAACGUAGGUCACAAGCGUUGUCCGGAAUUACUGGGUGUAAAGGGAGCGCAGGCGGGAAGACAAGUUGGAAGUGAAAUCUAUGGGCUCAACCCAUAAACUGCUUUCAAAACUGUUUUUCUUGAGUAGUGCAGAGGUAGGCGGAAUUCCCGGUGUAGCGGUGGAAUGCGUAGAUAUCGGGAGGAACACCAGUGGCGAAGGCGGCCUACUGGGCACCAACUGACGCUGAGGCUCGAAAGUGUGGGUGGCCACCAAAAUUCGAUACCCUGGUAGUCCACCCCCUAAACGACCCUUAAAGGUGGUGGAGGAUUGACCCCUUCAGUGCCGCAGUUAACACAAUAAGUAAUCCACCUGGGGAGUACGACCGCAAGGUUGAAACUCAAAGGAAUUGACGGGGGCCCGCACAAGCAGUGGAGUAUGUGGUUUAAUUUGACGCAACGCGAAGAACCUUACCAAGUCUUGACAUCCUGCGACGAUGCUGGAAACAGUAUUUUCUUUCGGGACUCAGAGACAGGUGGUGCAUGGUUGUCGUCAGCUCGUGUCGUGAGAUGUUGGGUUAAGUCCCGCAACGAGCGCAACCCUUACUGUCAGUUACUACGCAAGAGGACUCUGGCAGGACUGCCGUUGACAAAACGGAGGAAGGUGGGGAGGACGUCAAAUCAUCAUGCCCUCUAUGACUUGGGCUACACACGUACUACAAUGGCGUUAAACAAAGAGAAGCAAGACCGCGAGGUGGAGCAAAACUCAGAAACAACGUCCCAGUUCGGACUGCAGGCUGCAACUCGCCUGCACGAAGUCGGAAUUGCUAGUAAUCGUGGAUCAGCAUGCCACGGUGAAUACAUUCCCGGGCCUUGCACA